CCUACGGGUGGCAGCAGUGGGGAAUAUUGCACAAUGGGCGCAAGCCUGAUGCAGCCAUGCCGCGUGUGUGAAGAAGGCCUUCGGGUUGUAAAGCACUUUCAGCGGGGAGGAAGGCGGUGAGGUUAAUAACCUCAUCGACUGACGUUACCCGCAGAAGAAGCACCGGCUAACUCCGUGCCAGCAGCCGCGGUAAUACGGAGGGUGCAAGCGUUAAUCGGAAUUACUGGGCGUAAAGCGCACGCAGGCGGUCUGUCAAGUCGGAUGUGAAAUCCCCGGGCUCAACCUGGGAACUGCAUUCGAAACUGGCAGGCUAGAGUCUUGUAGAGGGGGGUAGAAUUCCAGGUGUAGCGGUGAAAUGCGUAGAGAUCUGGAGGAAUACCGGUGGCGAAGGCGGCCCCCUGGACAAAGACUGACGCUCAGGUGCGAAAGCGUGGGGAGCAAACAGGAUUAGAUACCCGGGUAGUC
rnacentral:rRNA from 1 species